GGAAAGAAUACUAGUAUUAUACUACACAAAUCUUAACAAAUUUGUCUUGAGGAAAAUAGUACUACUCAUAGCAAAGGGAACAUGGAUACAGCAUAAAACCAACUAUAUUAGUACUACUACUACACAAAUCUCAACACCUUUGUCUGAGAAAAUAUAUUAUUAACCAGGAGUCAAAGGGAACAUGCACAAGGCAAAAACCAAAAUUUGUCUGAGAAAAUAUAGUAUAAACCAGGAGUCAAAGGGAACAUGCACAAGGCUAAAACCAAAGUUUGGUAACUUUUACCUCAUAUCAACAAUUUUAUCCCACUUUAUUGCCAAAACUAGUAGGUGUUAUAGCAAGUCUAAGAAACUAAAAAAAGACCCUAAUAAAAGGUAGUUUGAUGCACUCAGCUUUUGUGAUGUGAGUGAUUUGGGAAGAGCCAGACCAUAAGGGUCUAUUGUAUGGAACCUUACUUCGUAUUUCUGCAAAAGGUUAUUUCCACGACUCAAAUUCAUGACUUCUUGGUCACACGCCUUACUUUGUAUUUCUGCAAAAGGUUAUUUCCACGACUCAAAUUCAUGACUUCUUCGUCAUACGACAACAAUUUUACCAGUUACGUCAAGACUUUCUUUAAAAAAAACAAUAGACAAGAAAUUAGAGAAGAUCAUGCAGCAUCAUCAGUCACACCAUUUCACUCUCAUUGCUGAUGUUGAUGUUGGUGGAGGUUGUAGUUGUACUUUUGGACAAAAGAGUAGUACUCUUUUUGGAUGAACCUUUGGAAAGGCAAACAGGGUAUUUAAUGGC
rnacentral:lncRNA from 1 species